CUCACACUGUUGCUGUGCUUCUGCAGAGACAGGCCAGAGGAGCCAUCAGGAGGAAAGCAGGAACCCAGCAUCCCAUCUCAGGGAGUCUGCUCACAAAAGGCCACAUUGCCUUACAGGACAUCCAUCUGAGGCUUCAGAACUGGAAGCAGGACAAAGGGUUGCAUCUGAAGAGGACCAUCUGCAGAAGGACUUCCUGUGGGAACGCCGUCAUUUCCAAAGAGGCUCCUUGCAGCUUAAGAGGUAAAGGAAACCCUGCAAGAACCAGCAAGUAAACAGCCCACACAUCUCAGGAAGCUCCUGGAACUUGGGAGUGUCAUAAGC